UAGUUGGAGAGAUGCGACUCUUACUGUACCUUGGCCUAUUGUGGAUGGGUAUUCAUUUCUUACUGAAAUACCUUCAUGCCGUAAACUGUGGAAUGGUCGCUGCUCUUAGUUGGAGAGAUACACAAUGUCUGGUGAUUGACAUUGUAGGUUGUGUUUAUUUUCAUUGCCAUAUUCAUAUUAGGAUAGUUGGCCUUUGGAAAAUAAGUUCGUAUUACCAAAACAAUAUUCAGCAAAAAAAGUAAGAGGGGUGAUUUUUUUCUGUUUUCUGCUCAUUGGAUAAAAUUCAUUGACCUACUACAUAAUUUUCAUGUAACAGUGCUAGAAGGUAUUGUUAUUAGAACCAACAUCAGGAAUAUCAAGUUAGUAUGUUCACCUUUUCUAAUUCUUGUGGAAAAAUGAAUUAAUUAGUAUUUCAGCUAUUGAGCCCGCAGUUGAAAGGAAUUUAUUUAUCUUCAUCUGACGAGUAGUAAACAAAACGAUGGCUUAAUAGCUUUACUUCAUAUAUUUUGCUCUGACAAGUACUAAAUAAAACCUUAGAUGAGUAGCUUCUUGCUUAAAAAAUUAGGAGCAUCGACACAUUGUCCCAAGUUACUUAGCGAUCGAUAUACGAAACCAGAGCAGCCUUAGAAUUUACCGUCACAUUUGGAAGACAAUCAAAUUACACUAUGUCACAUCAUAUAUGUUUAUAUAAGAAUGGUGUUGUGGUUAUGUUAUCAUUUUGGUUCAAAAAAUCAUGUACUGGUCAGAGCUUUGGCAAUGUACUGAUGGAGUUGUUGAAGUAGAGGUUUUGAACGAGCCCAGAGGUAAUUUGUUUAGAUCACUGCAUAGGGCACUUAGAAGGAUCAGAGUUUACUUGGGAGCUACCUAGAGAAAUCCAACACUGAAAUUUGUGUGCAUGUAGUAGUAUAUGUGAUAUUUACGAAUACUUGGUGGUAGAUUGAGAAAAUCAAGGAAAUACAGAUAUGUUGGGGAAUAUAUGACAUGGUAAACUCAUUUCAGGUACUACUGAAGAUGACAUCCGAACGAGGUUCUCUCAUUCUCAUCCCUUUGGUUUAUAAUGCUACGUAUUUUUGAUGUGAACUAAUAUUCUUUUAUUAAAUCAUUUUCUCUGGAAUCUAAAAGUCUAAGAUGAUAAAGAUACUAUUCUGCAUUGCAUGAUUGCAUCACAUCAAUAGUGAUAUCAAUGUAGCAAUUCUUUUUAUGGAAGAUUGUGGACAAGUUAUUAUUUUUAAAUACAAACUUAGACUUGCUGAAGGCUUAGGAUGGCCUCUAUAUUUUUGAACAGCUAAAUUUUUCAGAAAGCGCAAAAGCCUUGUGUAUCGAUGCAUUUAUAGAGUAUACUUUGAUAGUACAUGUAUUUUAAGAAAGUGAAUCGUGCGAAUUUUUAUCUUCCAUAUAAUCAAUCCAAUAAAAGGACAUAUGUAAAAUUCCCAAAUAAACCUACUGCUUACAUUAAUUACCGGUUAGGUAUAUACUUUUCUGCCGCACAACCUCAGAAGCUUAAGUAAUAUGAUUGAUCCCAGUGUUGGAAUCUACAGAAUUUUCAGGUGACAAAAAAACCUAUGACACUAAUGAGAUUGUUGGAUGGGAGUCACAAGCAUUAAUGCAAUGUAAAGUACGCCAAACCUACAAGUUAAAUAGGCAAGGGAUUUUCCUUAAAAGUUAUAAAAAUAUGCAUUACUAUUCAAUUAAAGGGGUGAGGUUAGUUUCGUGCCAGGUAGUCAACUUCAAUUUGUAGCCCGCGUGUUCUGUUUCUUUUAAAAGCAUCAUCACUAACUUAUGUAUUUUUUUUUCUUUUUAUACACCACAGAUGAUUUUGUAUUAGAUAACAACUGAAUCAACCCCAUUUGUUGUUUCACUUGCAAGACACCUACACACUAUUGAUUCUGAGAUGUAUGGACCGUUUUGGUGUUCUCAUUACAAUGAGCAAAAACUGGUACAGGUUCUUUCAUCUUCUUAAUUUCCUUGCUGAUCUGCUGAGCAAAAUCUCCCAAAACGAAGUUGAACAAAAUCAUCCUAAGAACUUAUUUUCAUUAUUGUGUAAUUAGACCUUCACUGGUAUGCUGCCUACAAUUCUCUGCUCGAAAUUUUCACUUAAAUACAAACCAAAAAGUGCUAAAUAUGGAAGUCUCGACUCUAAAAGAUUUAUCAUCCCAAAGAUUCAACUGGAAGGUUUUUGUGUGUGUUGCUAGAAUAUGGAAGUGAAGGAUCAGCAAAACAAAGCUGAAUUUUUAUGAGAUAGACUUCAUUGUCGAUGAGAAUGGACAAGUUCAAGCUGAAGAACAAAGAAGUACAUAUAAGGUGUGCCGCCGAGGAGUAGGUUUAACCGAAACUCGUCAUCAAAACCAUCUGUGCCAUCUCAGGAAGGUGAGAAGUCCGGUGACUGCAUAGAUGCCGGCUGCCUAGAGGAUGACAAAGCCCAGCCUUUUCACUUGGACCCCAACAGUUGUGAUCCCCAACACGAAUGACAAAGCACAACCUUCUCACAAAGAGCCCAACAGUCAUGAUCCCCAACAUGGUUCACAAAUAGCCAUGGAAAUCAGCCUCCUUUUCUCUGACAAAGAAGAGGUGACUUUGGUAAAUACUGAUUGCCUUCCAAAUAGAGACAAUCAAGGUUUUCCUAAAAUUGUGUUCUAUGUUUAUAGGCGCCGGUCACCAAGUGUGUUGUGCAUAUGAUGGCUUUCAGGGAUUGCAUAGUCAGUUUUAUCUUUGAUGGUGUAAUAACAUUUGCGAUGAGAUCUCAAACA